rfam:Triticum urartu cultivar G1812 contig17294, whole genome shotgun sequence.
GAAAUACUCCCUCCGUCCCAAAAUUCUUGUCUUAGAUUUGUCUAAAUAUGGAUGUAUCAAGUCACGUUUUGGUAUUAGAUACAUCUUUAUCUGGACUAAUCUAAGUCAAGAAUUUUGGGGCGGAGGGAGUAUAAG